rnacentral:rRNA from 1 species
GACCUGGCUGGGUGGUCUUGCUGAAAGGUAAGCACUGCUCCGGUUGGGUCUUUCCUUCUGGGGAACCAGUGUGCUCUUAACUGGGUGCGCUGGGGAUCCAGGACUUUUACUUUGAAAAAAUUAGAGUGUUUAAAGCAGGCAUCCGCUUGAAUACAUUAGCAUGGAAUAACAGAAUAAGAC